rnacentral:tRNA from 1 species
GAAUAUAGCUUGAUGGUAGAGUACUUGCCUAGCAUACAUGAGGGCCUAGGUUCAAUUCCUAGUUCA